rnacentral:rRNA from 1 species
AGAGUUUGAUCAUGGCUCAGGAUGAACGCUAGCGGGAGGCUUAACACAUGCAAGUCGAACGGCAGCACGGGCUUCGGCCUGGUGGCGAGUGGCGCACGGGUGCGUAACGCGUAUGCAACCUACCUUAUACAGGAGGAUAGCCCAUGGAAACGUGGAUUAAUACUCCAUAGUAUCACAGUAUUGCAUAAUACAAUGAUUAAAACUUCGGUGGUAUAAGAUGGGCAUGCGUAGGAUUAGCUAGUUGGUGAGGUAACGGCUCACCAAGGCGACGAUCCUUAGGGGUUCUGAGAGGAUUAUCCCCCACACUGGUACUGAGACACGGACCAGACUCCUACGGGAGGCAGCAGUGAGGAAUAUUGGUCAAUGGGCGAGAGCCUGAACCAGCCAUCCCGCGUGCAGGAUGACGGCCCUACGGGUUGUAAACUGCUUUUCUACUCCAAGAAACCUGGUUACGUGUAACCAGUUGCCGGUAGAGUAGGAAUAAGCAUCGGCUAACUCCGUGCCAGCAGCCGCGGUAAUACGGAGGAUGCAAGCGUUAUCCGGAUUCAUUGGGUUUAAAGGGUGCGCAGGUGGGCUUGUAAGUCAGUGGUGAAAUGCUGCCGCUUAACGGUAGAAUUGCCAUUGAUACUGCAAGUCUUGAAUAUGGUUGAGGUAGGCGGAAUGUGUUGUAGCGGUGAAAUGCAUAGAUAUGACACAGAACACCGAUUGCGAAGGCAGCUUACUAAGCCAUUAUUGACACUGAGGCACGAAAGCGUGGGGAGCGAACAGGAUUAGAUACCCUAGUAGUCC